UACGUAGGGUGCGAGCGUUAAUCGGAAUUAUUGGGCGUAAAGCGUGCGCAGGCGGCGCCAUAAGACGGCUGUGAAAUCCCCGGGCUUAACCUGGGAACUGCGGUUGUGACUGUGGUGCUAGAGUACGGCAGAGGGAGGUGGAAUUCCUGGUGUAGCAGUGAAAUGCGUAGAGAUCAGGAGGAACACCGAUGGCGAAGGCAGCCUCCUGGGCUGAUACUGACGCUCAUGCACGAAAGCGUGGGGAGCAAACAGGAUUAGAUACCCCUGU
rnacentral:rRNA from 1 species